rnacentral:tRNA from 1 species
GCCGAUAUAGCUCAGUCGGUAGAGCAAUGCUUUCGUAAAGCAGAGGUCGGCGGUUCGAAUCCGCCUAUCGGCUCCA